AAUUUAUUAGUCUCCUUCCAUCCCUUCCUCCUGUCUCUCUUUCUUCUCCUUUCUUCUUUUGUCUCCUCUCCCCUUUUCUCUUACCCUUUCUUCUCCUUUCAUCUUUUUUCUCUACUUUCCUCUUUUUUUAUUCUCUCCUUUCCUCUAUUUAUCUACCCUCCUCCUUCUUCAUUCCUCUCUUUUCUUCUUUAUCUAUUCUUUUUCUCCUCUAUCUUUCGUAGUCUCCCUCUUCUCCUUUUUAUCCCAUUUUCUUUCAUGCCGCUUCUCUCUUUUUUUUUUCGUCUUAUUUGUCUUUUUUGUCUUCAUUUCUUACCCUUGACUUUUCUUCAUUUCGUCAUGUCUUCCUUCUUUGCAUUUUCUUCUUCCUUUUCUACCUUUCAUUCCCUUGACAUUUCUGCAUUUCAAUUUGUCUGUUUCCUUCUCUACUUCUUCUUUUAGAUUUCUUUCUCCUGAUGUUUCUUUCCUCCUCUCUCUCUCCUUUGUCUUCUCUUCUUACUCCUUUUCCUUCAUGUUUUUUUCUUCGUUUCUCUUAAAAGCAGUGAUCAUUUUUUUCCCCUUGUUAUCGUUAUCUUUCUCUUCCUCAAUAUUCUCCUUUCAUUUCUUGUUAUAAUCAUCUUUCUCUUCCUCUCUUUUUUUUUUUGUUCCUUCUUUCUCCCUUUUCAUUAUCAUCUUCGUUUUCACCAUCAUCAUCAUCAUUUUUAUCAUCAUUUUCUUCUUUCUCUUUUUAUCUCUAUAUAUAUUUUGAGAGAGAGAGAGAGAGAGAGAGAGAGAGUAUAUCCCGUACACAUCUUCUCUCUCCUUGACAUAUUGUUAUCAUUAUUAUUCUCCGUCAGUCUUGCCGUCAACAAAAAAGUUCCCAGGAAUGGAGUUAUGGAGAAUAAUUAAACUGUAACAAUAUUAUAAUCAUUCCUGUGGCGCCAACGAAUGAUUAGAGAGAGGAAAAAAAAAAGAUAUGUAGAGGAGGUAAAGAGAGUGGGAGACUUAAGAAGAGGAGAGGGGAGGAGGUGGAUAAAAGGCAGUAUAUAGGGAAAGGAGAAGAGGGCGAUAAAGAGAGGAAUAGAGAAGGGAGAGAGUGAUAGAGAGGAUAUAUAGACAGACAGGAGAAGGGGAAGGUUAGGAAGGGAGGGAUAAAACAUAGGGAAAGGAUAGAGGGGAGGAGAAAGGCGGGAAGGAAGCCAAAUUGAAAGAGAGAGAGAGAGAGAGAGAGAGAGAGAGAGAGAGAGAGAGAGAGAGAGAGAGAGAGAGAGAGAGAGAGAGAGAGAUGAGGGAAGAUAGGAAAGGAAAAGGAGAGAUUGUGGAAGGCAGGAGAGAGAAAGAAAAAGGUUGGGAAAGAGAGGAAAGAAAAAGAGUGAUUUGGACAAACAGAAGACAGGGAUUGAGACAGAGAAGGCGAAACAGAAAGAUUAGAGGAGAAAGAAGACAAGAAUAGAGGUAAGGAAAAGAGAGGAGGCAAAGAUUUAGCUGUUAGGAGCAAUUAGAAGCAUAGAAAGAGAGAGACUGGGAAAUACAGGAAAGAAAAAGAGAGAAAUUGGAAGAAACAGAAGAGAGAGAGAGAGAGAGAGAGAGAGAGAGAGAGAGAGAGAGAGAGUGAGUAGACUUUACAACAAUUAGGAUCAAAAGGAAACACCAAAAAACAACCACCAUAACAACCGCACGCCAACAGACUAGAAAGCAACCACAAAAUGAGGGGGAGGGAGGCCCGUUGCAGAGACUGACCCCCGACCCUCCCCGACCCUCCCUCAACUCGUGCGAUCCGUCCGUUCGGGUAGGCGGACCACCGGAAGCUGCGAGAUGCCUGUGCAGGGUUUCCCGUCCGCUCGGCACGUCCUGUCUCGCCGCGACCCGCCGUUGAAGAGGUCCUUGCCACGCCUGACUCACCUUGACAGUAGACUCCCGCAGGUGAAUAGGUGCUGUAGAGGAAUGCGGGAGAGUUGCUAUACGAGGUGGGUGUGGAGCGAGAUAAGAACUGGAGGGGAAAUAGAAAGAAAGGGAGGCAGGAAGAAGGCAUGAUCCAGGAAGAAUUAUUGCUGGAACUGGGAAAAAUAGGUGAAUAGGUGUUGUAGAGGAAUGUGGAAGAGUUGCUAUACGAGGUGGGUGUGGAGCGAGAUGAGAACUGGAGGGGAAAUAGGAAUGAAGUUAGGUUGAAGUCUGAUUUCUGACUCCUUUGCUGUGCACUGCUUAGGAUUUUGAGAAUAUGCUCAAGAGGGGCUUGCUGAUCUGAUGCUUUCCCUCUUUAAGAAUACGCGGGGAUAUUUUCUCUUUAUCUGCGUUUUUUUACUCUAAUAUUAUCGAUAAUUUGUACUAUAUCACUUUCUGCAGUGUCGUUAAUACUUAUGGGUAGGAGGAGGAGGAUUAAGAGGAUGAUGACAAGAGAGGGAAGGAGAAUAUCAUCACUGCUUUCAAAAGGAUUAAUUACUCGAGGCUUUCUACUGCAUAUUAAUUACUUUCUCUUCUCUCCUUAGCUACUUUCAUCCCUCAAUUGAUUUUUACCUUUGUCUUCACAGCAUUUAUUAUUUUCACCGUCUAAUGGAUGUCUCCUUCAUGUAGCGAAAACUGUGUUAAUUAGUCUAUGCUUUCUACACCUUGAAUACCUUCUCUCCUCUUCCAUUCCUUCCGUCCCCAUCUCUGCUUUCCCCUCCCCUACCCAGCUCAUUUCUCUACUCCUUAAUUACCACCAAUAUCUCUGUUUUUGUUGACCUGUAACGUUUUUCUCAACCAGUAUACAGUUUUAUCUUUGUAUCAUCUAUAUUCAGUGCUGUGUCUAUCUGUUGUACUCGGUUAGAACGUAAGGAGUCUGCAAUGGACUGGUAGACGAACGCACAAGGCAGCCCCUGUAAACCUAACCCCACUGUACCUCACUACCCCUGAACUUGUCUUACCUUUUUCUUGAACGUAAAGAUAGUAUUCGCUUACUACCUCAUGAUUUCUUUCCUUUAUUUACUUAUGCACAAUUUCGUUUUCGCUUCAACUAUGUAUUUCCACCUUUCCGUGUUCGUCCGAUUUACCUGCUGAGGAGCCUUGGAAUUCGUCGAGUUAUUCAAAACGUUUCUAGUGAACGCGUCCAGUUGAGACGUUUCUGAGUGGCUGCUUGUAAUGUGAGGGUCGUGAUUCUUCAGUUGAACGUGUCCGGUUUUUAAUUUUUUCUUUCUGUCCUUCUCUUUGUUAUGAAGCUGCUUGUUAAGUGCAAAUGAGCGAGGGUGGAAUGUGUGCCUUGAGACUUAGGAGUGUUUGCUAAGAGGAAGCUAGUUAUUUUUUCUCCUUUUUCUUCUUUGUCUCUCCUCCUCCUCUUCCUUCUCUUUCAUCACCACAAUCAUUACCAUUUACAGUUUCAUCAGCAUCUUAUUAGUCUUAUUCCUUUUCGUAUCCUGAUUGUCAUUUUUAUUCACUUCACUUAAGGCAAAAAUAGAAGCAAUCAUUCUCCUUGUUUUCUUUUACUCAUCGUUGGUUCCUGGAAGACCCGAGGAAGCAGGAUAAAGGAAGCAGGAAAAAAAUAUUGAUUCUCGGGAGGUAACAAACGCAAACAGGUGGGCAGACAAACAGACGAACAAAAGAAAAACAACCCCAAAAAAACAAGAAUAGAAGUUUCCCAUUAAAGCAAAGCGAACAGAUGGACAAACAGACAGACAGACAGACGGACGGACACACAGACAGAGAGACAGAUAGACACGGAUACAUGAGAGAACAACAAAAUCUACUCGACAAGGCAACAAAAGCUUUGAUAUAAGGCUCUUAAGGACCACAUUCUUAAACAUUGCGGCGCCCAAGCACACACACAAAGGCUUUCGUAGGAGUUGUGUGUGGGGGUUGCUGUUAAGUAUUUCCAUUGGGGGUAGUUUUGACCUUGUUAGUAUGUAGUUUGUCGAAGCUUCUAUACCAGGAACGUGAAGCACACACAUUUGACAAGGCUUUCGUAGGAGUUGUGUCUGUGUGGGUGGGUGUUAGGCAUUUCCAUUGGGGGUAGUUUUAUGACCUUGCUGGUAUGUUGUUUGUCGAAGCUUCUAUACCAGGAACGUGAAGCACACACAUUUGAGAACCCUGAUUGAUCUCCUUUUUUCGGCCUUUGGAAAUUUGACAAGGCUUUCGUAGGAGUUUAGGUGGGGGGGGCAUUUCUGUGGGAGGUAGUCUUAUGACCCUGGUGGCGGUAGUUUGACGAAGCUUCCAUACCAAGAACGUGGAAUAAAAACACUCUUGAUUUCCCAUUUAAUCUCCGUUUUACGACCCUUGGAUAUUAGACAAGGCUUUCGUAGGAGUUUUAGGUGGGGGGACAUAUCCGCGAGAGGCAGUUUUAUGACCGUGGUGGUAUGCAGUUUAACGAAGCUUUUACCAAGAACGUGAAAAGGAAACAAUCAUGAGAACCCGAUUAAUCUCCUUUUUCUGGGCCUUUGGAAAUUUUUAGUGUGCGAGGCGGAAGCGUCUGAGAACAGUGACCUUUGGCUGAAGAAUCCGUGAUGCUGUGAGGCUUCCCUGAAUACAUGAUUGCGUUACCUGGACGUCCGAACUCAACUCAUUAUAGUUAGCCCUAAAAAAACAAGAGAUAGGUUACGGUGAAGUGCAUCCCUCUCUCCCCUCCCCUCAUCCCCCUCCGUGACGUUGCCUAAAGAGCCGGAUCUUCUGAACUGUUUAUUAUUGCUCGCUGUCAGGAAACACAUUAUUGCGUUACCUGGACGUCCGAACUCAACUCAUUAUAGUUAGCCCUAAAAAAACAAGAGAUAGGUUACGGUAAAGUGCAUCCCUCUCUCCCCUCCCCUCAUCCCCCUCCGUGACGUUGCCUGGAGAGCCGGAUCUACUGAACUGUUUAUUAUUGCUCGCUGUCAGGAAACCAACUUAAGGGUCAUGUUGAAACGCCUCCUCCCCCUCCUUCUUCCCUCUUCCUCUUCUUUCCUUCUCCUCAGUACUGGAUCACGUGACCUAGGCAGCCGGAUCCACCGUAUGAAGCCAUCGACGAGGAAACCUAAGCCAUCAUGAUAAGGCCUUUCCUGAUCCCUUCUUAAGCGAUCAUGAUGCCUUCCCUGAUUCCUUCUUAAGUGAGCGUGAUGCCGUUUCUAAUGUUUGAAUAUACACAUGAAUCAGUAAGGGUUUAUUCAGUUGGAAUGGAUUUAUUAUGGAGGUAUAUACAGUUUUUUUCUUUUAUUUGUAAGGAAAGUUCUUUGUUUACAGUUUAUUUAUAUUUUGAGGGGGCGGGUAUAAAAUGUUGGGGUAGUAUAUCGAUGUUAUUAUUUAUUAUGGGUUGUCUGAAUUGAUUUAUU